rnacentral:sRNA from 2 species
GCCUACUUCAUUGGGGAGUAGCCGCUAUUUACGUUCCAGUAAAUAGGUGAUGGUCAACAUAAUUGUUCAACAGAACAUGGUCAUCAUAGCCAAAGAACCCGAGCUUUAAUUCUUUUGUUGGCAAGACCUUUGAUUUAUCUUUCUGCUUGAUUAUGGCU